AUCUAUACAAAAUGUCUUUAUUCAUUUAUUCGUCAGUGAAAAAUGAAAACAACACGCCACAAAACCCUCGAGUACGAAGCACACCUUCGGAUUCACAACCACCAAGUACGCCCAAGGGCAAAUAUUUGAUAGAUAAGGAUGUGCAAGAACUGACAAUUGUGAAAAUACUUUAAACAGAGACUAUACAAAUCAUGCAAUGGGUUAUGCAUGUCAAUGAUCAAAAUAAAAGACGAUAUCAUUAUACUAAUACAGUUUCAAAAUUGUCACAAGCAUAGAUAGCAGGCUCAGUGUAAUAAAUCUUCUGAUAUGAAUAUGGACAAAAAGGAAAACAUUGAAUUCCCAUUGAGAAUGGAAAAUCCCGUUUAUCAUACGGAACAAAUUCUUGUGAAAAUAAUGAUAUUCUAGUCAACGAGUACUCGAGUACUUUAGUAUCGCUAGGUAUUACCAUUUAU
rnacentral:lncRNA from 1 species